rnacentral:rRNA from 2 species
GUCUGACGGAGCAACGCCGCGUGAGUGAUGAAGCCUUCGGGUCGUAAAGCUCUGUUGUUAGGGAAGAACAAGUACCGUUCAAAUAGGGCGGUACCAUGACGGUACCUAACCAGAAAGCCACGGCUAACUACGUGCCAGCAGCCGCGGUAAUACGUAGGUGGCAAGCGUUGUCCGGAAUUAUUGGGCGUAAAGGGCUCGCAGGCGGUUCCUUAAGUCUGAUGUGAAAGCCCACGGCUCAACCGUGGAGGGUCAUUGGAAACUGGGGAACUUGAGUACAGAAGAGGAGAGUGGAAUUCCACGUGUAGCGGUGAAAUGCGUAGAGAUGUGGAGGAACACCAGUGGCGAAGGCGACUCUCUGGUCUGUAACUGACGCUGAGGAGCGAAAGCGUGGGGAGCGAACAGGAUUAGAUACCCUGGUAGUCCACGCCGUAAACGAUGAGUGCUAAGUGUUAGAGGGUUUCCGCCCUUUAGUGCUGCAGCAAACGCAUUAAGCACUCCGCCUGGGGAGUACGGUCGCAAGACUGAAACUCAAAGGAAUUGACGGGGGCCCGCACAAGCGGUGGAGCAUGUGGUUUAAUUCGAAGCAACGCGAAGAACCUUACCAGGUCUUGACAUCCCAUGACAACUCUAGAGAUAGAGCGUUCCCCUUCGGGGGACAUGGUGACAGGUGGUGCAUGGUUGUCGUCAGCUCGUGUCGUGAGAUGUUGGGUUAAGUCCCGCAACGAGCGCAACCCUUGAUCUUAGUUGCCAGCAUUUAGUUGGGCACUCUAAGGUGACUGCCGGUGACAAACCGGAGGAAGGUGGGGAUGACGUCAAAUCAUCAUGCCCCUUAUGACCUGGGCUACACACGUGCUACAAUGGAUGGUACAAAGGGCUGCGAGACUGCGAAGUUAAGCGAAUCCCAUAAAACCAUUCUCAGUUCGGAUUGCAGGCUGCAACUCGCCUGCAUGAAGCUGGAAUCGCUAGUAAUCGUGGAUCAGCAUGCCACGGUGAAUACGUUCCCGGGCCUUGUACACACCGCCCGUCACACCACGAGAGUUUGUAACACCCGAAGUCGGUGGAGUAACCGUAAGGAGCUAGCCG